rnacentral:rRNA from 1 species
UUAAGCGACUAAGCGUACACGGUGGAUGCCCUGGCAGUCAGAGGCGAUGAAGGGCGUGCUAAUCUGCGAUAAGCGCCGGUAAGGUGAUAUGAACCGUUAUAACCGGCGAUACCCGAAUGGGGAAACCCAGUGUGAUUCGUCACACUAUCAUUAACUGAAUCCAUAGGUUAAUGAGGCGAACCGGGGGAACUGAAACAUCUAAGUACCCCGAGGAAAAGAAAUCAACCGAGAUUCCCCCAGUAGCGGCGAGCGAACGGGGAGGAGCCCAGAGCCUGAAUCAGCAUGUGUGUUAGUGGAAGCGUCUGGAAAGGCGCGCGAUACAGGGUGACAGCCCCGUACACAAAAGCGCAUGUGCUGUGAGCUCGAUGAGUAGGGCGGGACACGUGGUAUCCUGUCUGAAUAUGGGGGGACCAUCCUCCAAGGCUAAAUACUCCUGACUGACCGAUAGUGAACCAGUACCGUGAGGGAAAGGCGAAAAGAACCCCGGCGAGGGGAGUGAAAAAGAACCUGAAACCGUGUACGUACAAGCAGUGGGAGCACCCUUUGGGUGUGACUGCGUACCUUUUGUAUAAUGGGUCAGCGACUUAUAUUCUGUAGCAAGGUUAACCGAAUAGGGGAGCCGGAGGGAAACCGAGUCUUAACCGGGCGUUAAGUUGCAGGGUAUAGACCCGAAACCCGGUGAUCUAGCCAUGGGCAGGUUGAAGGUUGGGUAACACUAACUGGAGGACCGAACCGACUAAUGUUGAAAAAUUAGCGGAUGACCUGUGGCUGGGGGUGAAAGGCCAAUCAAACCGGGAGAUAGCUGGUUCUCCCCGAAAGCUAUUUAGGUAGCGCCUCGUGAAUUCAUCUCCGGGGGUAGAGCACUGUUUCGGCUAGGGGGCCAUCCCGGCUUACCAACCCGAUGCAAACUGCGAAUACCGGAGAAUGUUAUCACGGGAGACACACGGCGGGUGCUAACGUCCGUCGUGAAGAGGGAAACAACCCAGACCGCCAGCUAAGGUCCCAAAGUCAUGGUUAAGUGGGAAACGAUGUGGGAAGGCCCAGACAGCCAGGAUGUUGGCUUAGAAGCAGCCAUCAUUUAAAGAAAGCGUAAUAGCUCACUGGUCGAGUCGGCCUGCGCGGAAGAUGUAACGGGGCUAAACCAUGCACCGAAGCUGCGGCAGCGACACUGUGUGUUGUUGGGUAGGGGAGCGUUCUGUAAGCCUGCGAAGGUGGCCUGUGAGGGUUGCUGGAGGUAUCAGAAGUGCGAAUGCUGACAUAAGUAACGAUAAAGCGGGUGAAAAGCCCGCUCGCCGGAAGACCAAGGGUUCCUGUCCAACGUUAAUCGGGGCAGGGUGAGUCGACCCCUAAGGCGAGGCCGAAAGGCGUAGUCGAUGGGAAACGGGUUAAUAUUCCCGUACUUGGUGUUACUGCGAAGGGGGGACGGAGAAGGCUAUGUUGGCCGGGCGACGGUUGUCCCGGUUUAAGCGUGUAGGUGUGUGUUCCAGGUAAAUCCGGUUCACUUUAACACUGAGGCGUGACGACGAGGCACUACGGUGCUGAAGCAACAAAUGCCCUGCUUCCAGGAAAAGCCUCUAAGCAUCAGGUAACAUCAAAUCGUACCCCAAACCGACACAGGUGGUCAGGUAGAGAAUACCAAGGCGCUUGAGAGAACUCGGGUGAAGGAACUAGGCAAAAUGGUGCCGUAACUUCGGGAGAAGGCACGCUGACACGUAGGUGAAGUGAUUUACUCAUGGAGCUGAAGUCAGUCGAAGAUACCAGCUGGCUGCAACUGUUUAUUAAAAACACAGCACUGUGCAAACACGAAAGUGGACGUAUACGGUGUGACGCCUGCCCGGUGCCGGAAGGUUAAUUGAUGGGGUCAGCGCAAGCGAAGCUCCUGAUCGAAGCCCCGGUAAACGGCGGCCGUAACUAUAACGGUCCUAAGGUAGCGAAAUUCCUUGUCGGGUAAGUUCCGACCUGCACGAAUGGCGUAAUGAUGGCCAGGCUGUCUCCACCCGAGACUCAGUGAAAUUGAACUCGCUGUGAAGAUGCAGUGUACCCGCGGCAAGACGGAAAGACCCCGUGAACCUUUACUAUAGCUUGACACUGAACAUUGAGCCUUGAUGUGUAGGAUAGGUGGGAGGCUUUGAAGUGUGGACGCCAGUCUGCAUGGAGCCGACCUUGAAAUACCACCCUUUAAUGUUUGAUGUUCUAACGUGGACCCGUUACCCGGGUUGCGGACAGUGUCUGGUGGGUAGUUUGACUGGGGCGGUCUCCUCCUAAAGAGUAACGGAGGAGCACGAAGGUUGGCUAAUCCUGGUCGGACAUCAGGAGGUUAGUGCAAUGGCAUAAGCCAGCUUGACUGCGAGCGUGACGGCGCGAGCAGGUGCGAAAGCAGGUCAUAGUGAUCCGGUGGUUCUGAAUGGAAGGGCCAUCGCUCAACGGAUAAAAGGUACUCCGGGGAUAACAGGCUGAUACCGCCCAAGAGUUCAUAUCGACGGCGGUGUUUGGCACCUCGAUGUCGGCUCAUCACAUCCUGGGGCUGAAGUAGGUCCCAAGGGUAUGGCUGUUCGCCAUUUAAAGUGGUACGCGAGCUGGGUUUAGAACGUCGUGAGACAGUUCGGUCCCUAUCUGCCGUGGGCGCUGGAGAACUGAGGGGGGCUGCUCCUAGUACGAGAGGACCGGAGUGGACGCAUCACUGGUGUUCGGGUUGUCAUGCCAAUGGCACUGCCCGGUAGCUAAAUGCGGAAGAGAUAAGUGCUGAAAGCAUCUAAGCACGAAACUUGCCCCGAGAUGAGUUCUCCCUGAGACUUAGAGUCUCCUGAAGGAACGUUGAAGACGACGACGUUGAUAGGCCGGGUGUGUAAGCGCAGCGAUGCGUUGAGCUAACCGGUACUAAUGAACCGUGAGGCUUAACCUU